UACGAAGGGGGCUAGCGUUGCUCGGAAUCACUGGGCGUAAAGGGUGCGUAGGCGGGUCUUUAAGUCAGGGGUGAAAUCCUGGAGCUCAACUCCAGAACUGCCUUUGAUACUGGGGAUCUCGAGUCCGGGAGAGGUGAGUGGAACUGCGAGUGUAGAGGUGAAAUUCGUAGAUAUUCGCAAGAACACCAGUGGCGAAGGCGGCUCACUGGCCCGGUACUGACGCUGAGGUGCGAAAGCGUGGGGAGCAACGGG
rnacentral:rRNA from 1 species